UCGGUUAACAAAAAUUUAUGAUA
rnacentral:siRNA from 1 species